rnacentral:lncRNA from 1 species
AGUUGAAAAGUCAUUUUUCAAAAGAAAAGCCAAACAUGCACUAAAUGUUACCAGAGAGAGAUCUGGCUCAAUUCCUUUUCGUUGUUGUUUUUUAUCUUAGGCUUCAGCAAACUAACUACGAAUAAGAAGAAUGAGAAGAAAUCCAAAAGGAAAUCGGAAUCUAAGCUGCAAAUUUGUUGCUGGGUAUGUUACUGAGAAAAGGAGCUCUGUUUCAUCAAGACAGAAUGUGACCUUAGAUUCGCCGUUAAUUAAAGUCAAAUAGUUUAUAAGAAGCUGAAGGAGAGGUCAGGGGAGUAUAUUGCACGAGGUUUUGUUAGAAGUGAGGAAAGUAAGACGAGUCCAUUGGUGGAGCCGACGUUGUUUUGAUGGGCGAUAUACCAAUCUGGCAGCUCUAUGCACCGAGACUGCACUCUAGUGCAUCAGUGAGAAAACGGACGUGAUUGAUUUGGAAGACGAGUCCAUCGAUGCGGUGAUUCUUAAUUUCAUGGCAGUUACGAAUGGGCAUUUUCAGACCGCCCUCGGGACCACCAAUCCUUCUGCUCUUCGUGAGACCGUUGUCGAAGUUCCGAACGUUAGCCGGGAAGACAUCGGUGGACUCGAGAAUGUUAAACGAGAGCUACAAGAGACUGUUCAAUAUCCUGUCGAACGUCCUGAGAAAUUUGAGAAGUUCGGUAUGCUUAAGGGUGUGAAUUUCUCACACGUAUCAAACUUAACACGAUACGUGGGCUUGGGUUUGGCCUAAACGGGUUUGGGACUUCAGGUCAGCAUCAGACUUUUUUUCGGACCUGUAUUGGUUGGAUUUAUGCUGGUAAAGGUUCCGGGUUAUACGUUUGGGCCGGUCGGCUUAUAAAGACUCAGUUCUGGUACCUUAUUCAGACUCAAGGGGACCGGGUUUUUGGCUAUUAUAAUGUGUCGUAAAAUGCUGAAGGACAGGGAUGUGCUGCUGUGUUCGGCUGCAAGAAGUGGGCUCUGCCAACAGUUGUACGUAGCAAGUCCCAAACUGAUUUGUCUGAAGAUUAUUGCCAAAUUGGAAUUUCUGCAGCUGCUGAUUGAUUCCGAAAAUUAGCUUUGCAUUGUAUAUUCUCAAAACAGUAUCCAUUGUAAAUCUAUUUAUUUCUUUUUUGAAUUCAGGGUUCAUUUUUGAGCAUUG